CUCCCAGGCCGUGGAGGACGAACUGCAUGCAUGAUGAUGGUUCCUAGGCCUAAGGUUUCUCUGCAGAGGUGGAGAAGAAAGAAAUUAAAGACGAUCCAUCAAAAAGCUAGAAGGAAUGGAAAAGUCAACAUCACAGAGUUCCCUUGCUGAACACUGAAGGUAUUUUAUUCAUUUUUCACCUGUAUACAAUAACAGUAAGACUGUCUAUGGCUAAAUGACAGUGUAUCUUUUCUUCCCACAACUUUCCCAUCAAAGAUUAUGUGUUGUUAGAAUGAUAGGGUUGUAGCCUGCUGUAUUAAUUAGAGGAUAAAAUGCCAUUUGUGU